rnacentral:rRNA from 1 species
GACGAACGCUGGCGGCGUGCUUAACACAUGCAAGUCGAACGGAAAGGCCCUGCUUUUGUGGGGUGCUCGAGUGGCGAACGGGUGAGUAACACGUGAGUAACCUGCCCUUGACUUUGGGAUAACUUCAGGAAACUGGGGCUAAUACCGGAUAGGAGCUCCUGCUGCAUGGUGGGGGUUGGAACGUUUCGGCGGUUGGGGAUGGACUCGCGGCUUAUCAGCUUGUUGGUGGGGUAGUGGCUUACCAAGGCUUUGACGGGUAGCCGGCCUGAGAGGGUGACCGGCCACAUUAGGACUGAGAGACGGCACAGACUCCUACGGGAGGCAGCAGUGGGGAAUAUUGCACAGUGGGCGGAAGCCUGAUGAAGCAACGCCGCGUGCGGGAUGACGGCCUGCGGGUUGUAAACCGCUUUAGCCUGUGACGAAGCGUGAGUGACGGUAAUGGGUAAAGAAGCACCGGCUAACUACGUG